UACCGGCUGGUUCCUCCUGCCCCUGCGCU
rnacentral:sRNA from 1 species